rnacentral:rRNA from 1 species
GAUGAACGCUAGCUACAGGCUUAACACAUGCAAGUCGAGGGGAAACGACAUCGAAAGCUUGCUUUUGAUGGGCGUCGACCGGCGCACGGGUGAGUAACGCGUAUCCAACCUGCCCAUCACUUGGGAAUAACCUUGCGAAAGUAAGACUAAUACCCAAUGACAUCCCACGAAGACAUCUGAAUGGGAUUAAAGAUUUAUCGGUGAUGGAUGGGGAUGCGUCUGUUUAGCUUGUUGGCGGGGUAACGGCCCACCAAGGCAACGAUCAGUAGGGGUUCUGAGAGGAAGGUCCCCCACAUUGGAACUGAGACACGGUCCAAACUCCUACGGGAGGCAGCAGUGAGGAAUAUUGGUCAAUGGGCGAGAGCCUGAACCAGCCAAGUAGCGUGCAGGAUGACGGCCCUAUGGGUUGUAAACUGCUUUUAUAAGGGAAUAAAGUGGGUCUCGUGAGACUUUUUGCAUGUACCCUAUGAAUAAGGACCGGCUAAUUCCGUG